UACUUGUGUUCAGUUUAUUUGUGUUCUGUUUUACAUCACAUAUGUUUGUCUUUGAGGAUCAUUCAGUCAGAUCAUUUCUCUGAUGUUUUGAAGAUGUUUUCUUCCCUAUAUCUGGACAUCUGGACAUCAAUAUGACAAUGGAUUACUGGUUUGAAAACACGGAUGAAGAGAAAAUCAUCUUCAGUUCAGUCCAGGAUCUACUGUACAAGGUUCAAAAAAGGAAUUCAGGAAGGUUCCUAUUCAAUGUGAGGAAAAUCCAGAAGGCCAAAAUGGGGUUGUCAUAUUUGAGGACAGAUCAUACAGUCUAGCUCAGUCGGAUGUCUACGUCGUGGACCGUGGCCAUCAAAACUCAGUGUGUUUUGAACCACAGCAAAGUGAUACACUAUUGAGGGUUCCUAUUCAGUGUGAGGAAAAUCCAGAAGGUCAAAAUGGAUGCAUCAUAUUUGAGAACAGAUCAUACAGACUUAAUGUGUUGGAUAACUAUGAUGUGGAUCAUGGCUACCAAAACUCAGAACUGAGGCAUCCUGUUCAAUGUGAGAAAAAUCCAGAAGGUCAAAAUGGAUGGGUCAUAUUUGAGAGCAGAUCAUACAGACUUGACCGUGGCCAUGGAAGCUCAGAGCGUCUUGAAAUACAUCAUGAUAUGUCACUGAGGUGUUCGGAGGAUCAGCGUGUGCUGCAUGGAUCAGUUGAGCUGGACAACAUUUUUUACACUGUUGAUAUGCCUCGUUUAGAGGACAAUGAGCUAAUUCAUGAAGAUGAAGAUUUUUUUAAUGAUAAUCAGCGCUUUACAGAUUAAAUGCUUUACAUUGUUUACUUCUGUAUUAAAAUUUUUCAUUCAA